rnacentral:rRNA from 1 species
AUACGGAGGGUGCAAGCGUUAUUCGGAAUCACUGGGCGUAAAGGACGCGUAGGCGGGUUGGCAAGUCAGAUGUGAAAUCCUACAGCUUAACUGUAGAACUGCAUUUGAAACUGCUAACCUAGAGUAUGGGAGGGGGAGAUGGAAUUAGUGGUGUAGGGGUAAAAUCCGUAGAUAUCACUAGUAAUACCAAAAGCGAAGGCGAUCUCCUGGAACAUAACUGACGCUAAGGCGUGAAAGCGUGGGGAGCAAACAGGAUUAGAAACCCUAGUAGUCC